UACGGGGGGGGUAAGCGUUGUUCGGAAUUACUGGGCGUAAAGGGCUCGUAGGCGGCCAACUAAGUCAGACGUGAAAUCCCUCAGCUUAACUGGGGAACUGCGUCUGAUACUGGAUGGCUUGGAUUUGGGAGAGGGAUGCGGAAUUCCAGGUGUAGCGGUGAAAUGCGUAGAUAUCUGGAGGAACACCGGUGGCGAAGGCGGCAUCCUGGACCAACAUUGACGCUGAGGAGCGAAAUCCAGGGGAGCAAACGGG
rnacentral:rRNA from 1 species